GUUAGAGAAGAAGUCGUCGGAAUCUGGUCGCUGGAGGGUGGUGGGUUUUUGUCUGAAGCAGAGAAGCACAGUUCUUGCCGGCAUUUCUUCGAACAGUUGGUGAAGGUUUAGUGUUGUAGGAGUGAAAUGACUUCAACUAGUAGUUCUAGUAAAUCGUUUAAGGCGUUUCGUCGAAUGGUUUUAGGGUUUGGGGGUGAUCACACUCAGGUACAUUCUGAGGAGAUGAAGAAUGAGCCGUAAUCGUUAAAGAAGGCCUGAAGUAAUAUGAUUCUGAUACUAUUAUUAAGUCAACAGUCAUGACUGAUUUAAUGGAUGUGAACAAGCAAGGGAAGAUAAACAUUGUCGAAUUAAAAGCUUGGUGAUAAUAUUCGUGAUGCCGAUUUUCAAAUUCUUACGGAGGCUGUAAGUAUUAUAAAACAUAUUGUUGUUUGUGAUUUUUAAGACUUUCACUUAUACAUGCGAGUUAAAAGUAAUGGAAAAUGUUUUUAUAGGGUGAUGUGGACAAAGAUGGGUACUUGAACUAUGCAAAAUUUGUUACGAUUUCUGUUCACUUAAGAAAAUUAGGACCGGCGGGUUCCGGCAACCUGUACUCAGCGCCUGCUCGCCUCCCACCCACGGAAAGAAAGUGUAGAAACCCUCAGUGUUGUCGAUGUAGUUAGAUAUAUGACCCGAAUUGUGUUAGAUGUAUCCAAAUACUGACCCUAAUAAGGUUCAUUUUCUCGGUAAUCAGGUUUUCGUAUUCGGGAUUAUCUGGGUUUAAUAUAUAUUCGGAUUGGUAAUCAAGCAACUACACAAAAGAUCCUCUAUUUUUUUUUAGAAAUUUUAUAAGCUUAAAUAGUCAUUGCAUCAAAGUUUUGCAUUGUCAAAUAAAGGAGCGCAAGUUAAUCACAUAAUUUGCAGUCUAAGUUGGUUCUACAUUCACCAAAGGUAUGUUUCUUUCAUCAUGUUAUCGCCGGUGACUUAUAUUAGAAUUCUCUUUCUCUUAAUAUGCAUUCGCGAGUUUGACCUCUUUGAAGUAUAUUUUGGUCGUAAAAACAAAUUUAGAGUUCUUUAGCUUAUUUG